UUUACCACUAGAUCAUAUUCUAAUGCCUCAGGAUGAUGGUGUGGAGAUGAUGAACUGACUGAGGAAGUAUGUCACUUACAACAAAUGUUGAAGAUGAAAGACAGCCAGUAAGAACUACUUUUACUCACCUUUACUGCCAAGAAGUAGGGUUGUGAGAGACAAAUGAGAAAAUGAAUGUAAAGUAUGUGUGACUGGAACUCAACAUUUGGAGCUCUAUCAACAGGCCUGCACAUCAAAUAUGGAGCUCUCUGCUUCUUUCCCAGCAUUUCUUCCAGGAGGGUUUCAGACAUUGACUUGGAAGUAGAUUACCCAGAGUGCCACUGACCUUGAACUUGGUUUUGCAUAGCCCCUCUGGAAUCAACCAAUCAAUAAACAUUUAUUAAGU